GAAACCGUAGGUCAGCUCUACUGAAUGAAAUGGUUCAUGGACCUCAUUGGUGCUGUGGUUAAAGAUCCUACCCUCACAGAGCAUACAGCAAGCUGGAAAGACAGACAAUUAGAUAGUUAAUUAUAAUACCAUGGUGCGUUAUAUAAUGGAAGCAAAGGUGCUGGGAUACACAUGUCCUAAGGGCUAAUCAACUGAAGCAGAGGGAGUGAAAAAAGAACAAAGAAAUCUGUGACUGGUUGUGAUCAAUUAGUAAACUUAUUUUUUUAGAUGAAAAUGAAAUAAUACAUGCAAAGCCCUUGCACAGUGCCUUGCACAUAACACAUUUCAGGGUUAAGUUGUGCUAGUUAUUCUGUUAUUGAUUGUCUUGCCCUUUGUCCUCUGGAAGGUUGGAUCUUGCCAUUUGGGUAUGGCCAAUGGGAAGGCUAAGCAAGACAUCAGAGGGUGGGAGGAAAGGAGGUAUAUUUAUUUUCCUUACUCCUUCUCUGCUAGGCUUCAGUUUUGUCACUAGCUGCAUUCCUUUUUAUGACCACAACUCCAAUCGAAUGGCCACCCUCCCAUAGCUAGAGUUCAUAACGGACUAACACUGCCACCUCCUCAGGCCUAGGAAUGGUCAUGGUUUUUCUUCUCACUGUUGCUUCAGGUUCUUUUUUCCCACCAUUGCUUGCGCUAAAUGUUCCACCCUCUUUUCUUGUUCCUUUAAGGCCUCUCUAAACUGUCACUUUAUGAAACUGUCUUCAGUUAAAUCCUUUAUAUGUGGCAUUAGUUUAUGCUGAGACUUUGAUGUACAUAAAACAACAAUACUUUGGACAUAAGGAAGGACAUUCUUUUUGAUGAAUCAUUUUAGUAAAUGUUGUAAGGAGCUAAUAUGAGAUAUUCUAAAUCAAAUGGGAAGUUUAUUGGGAUGCUGGUGGUUUGUUGUUCUGA